rnacentral:snRNA from 1 species
GUACUCUCUUUGGCGGCAUGCAUACUGAAACUGGAAGGAUACAGAGAAAAUUAGCAUGGCCCCUGUGGAAGAAAGCUUGCCUCUGGGAAGGCAACCACGACCUG